UGCAAGUCGAACGCGAAAGUGGAGCAAUCCAUGAGUAGAGUGGCAAACGGGUGAGUAACACGUGGGCGACCUACCUCUGAGUGGGGGAUAACCUUCCGAAAGGAGGGCUAAUACCGCAUGACAUCCCGUGUUUGGAUACACGGACAUCAAAGCCGGGGAUCGCAAGACCUGGCGCUUAGAGAGGGGCCCGCGUCCGAUUAGCUAGUUGGUGAGGUAACGGCUCACCAAGGCUCCGAUCGGUAUCCGGCCUGAGAGGGCAGACGGACACACUGGAACUGAGACACGGUCCAGACUCCUACGGGAGGCAGCAGUGGGGAAUUGUUCGCAAUGGGCGCAAGCCUGACGACGCAACGCCGCGUGGAGGAUGAAGACUUUCGGGUCGUAAACUCCUUUCGACCGAGGUGAAUGUCCCGCGACCUAACACGUCGCGGGAGUGACAGUAUCGAGGGAAGAACCCCGGUUACUCCGUGCCAACAAGCCGGGGUAAUCCGGGGGGGCAAGCGUUGUUCGGAAUUACUUGGGCGUAAAGGGUUUGUAGGUGG
rnacentral:rRNA from 1 species